GACCUUUGUGGCGCAGUUAACGCGAUAAGUCGACCGCCUGGGGAGUACGGCCGCAAGGUUAAAACUCAAAUGAAUUGACGGGGGCCCGCACAAGCGGUGGAGCAUGUGGUUUAAUUCGAUGCAACGCGAAGAACCUUACCUACCCUUGACAUCGUGCGAACUUUCCAGAGAUGGAUUGGUGCCUUCGGGAACGCACAGACAGGUGCUGCAUGGCUGUCGUCAGCUCGUGUUGUGAAAUGUUGGGUUAAGUCCCGUAACGAGCGCAACCCUUGUCCCUAUUUGCCAGCGAUUCGGUCGGGAACUCUAGGGAGACUGCCGGUGACAAACCGGAGGAAGGUGGGGACGACGUCAAGUCAUCAUGGCCCUUACGGGUAGGGCUACACACGUGCUACAAUGGUCGGUACAAAGGGUUGCAAUACCGCGAGGUGGAGCUAAUCCCAUAAAGCCGGUCUCAGUCCGGAUCGGAGUCUGCAACUCGACUCCGUGAAGUCGGAAUCGCUAGUAAUCGUGAAUCAGAAUGUCACGGUGAAUACGUUCCCGGGCCUUGUACACACCGCCCGUCACACCAUGGGAGUGGACUGCACCAGAAGUGGUUAGCCUAACUUCGGAGGGCGAUCACCACGGUGUGGUUCAUGACUGGGGUGAAGUCGUAAC
rnacentral:rRNA from 1 species